rnacentral:sRNA from 1 species
UUCGGUGACAUAUAUCUCCUGGAUAAUC